UGAACACCGGCCGAGCGAAGCCGCGUUUAGAGUCUCGGACAGCGGCUCGUCUCCGCCUCCUGCACAGGCUGCUUCAGGCAGGAAAAGAUGCCUUCAGUCAUUAGUACAAAACAAAUUACUUCAUGUUGGAUAAGCUUCAGAUGAAAAGUCAUAACUAGGUGAUGUUCUAAGAAACAACCAAGUGUGUUGGUCCAUCGUGACACUGCUGCAGGAGAGGAGGAGAAGUGACUGCUUCCACUCACACCAUCAAUAAUCCAAUCAUAGGAAAGAUGCCCAAAUUCAUUUGAAAUACAUUGU